ACAUGCAUAUAACAUAGCGUUAAUGAACUAAAUCCCAUUAGAGCUCCUCUGUUAAGCGCUCUCAAGAUAGAGUAGUACUCGGAUGGGUGACCACCCGAGAAGUUCUAGUGUUUUACAUGCC
rfam:Picea glauca, whole genome shotgun sequence.